GUGGGUAUAGCUCAGUGGCAGAGUGCAAGCUUAGCAUGCAUGAGGUCCUGAGUUCAAUCCCCAGUCCCUCCA
rnacentral:tRNA from 1 species